GUGCUUACUUCAGUAGCACACAUACUAAAUGUGGAAUAAUACAGAGAAGAUUAGCAAGGCUCCUGUGCAAGGAUGACAUGAAGAUUCAUGAAAUGUUCCAUAUUUUU
rnacentral:snRNA from 1 species